rnacentral:rRNA from 1 species
AAUGAACGCUGGCGGCAUGCCUUACACAUGCAAGUCGAACGGCAGCAUAGUCUGGCCUUCUUCGUUCGGGUCGCGUGUCGAGGACGUGUGUGAUACACCGCAGCAUGUCCUUUUGUGUGGGGUAUCAUGUCGGGAGUUACACUAUAACACCGCAUACGAUCUGCGGGUGAACGCAGGGGCUUUUCGCAUUUCGCUCGAUUGGAUGCGGCGAUGUCGGAUUAGCUAGUUGGCGGGGUAAAGGCUCACCAAGGCCACGCCCCGUAGCUGGUCUGAGAGGAUGAUCCGCCACACUGGAACUGAGACACGGCCCAGACUCCUACGGGAGGCAGCAGUGGGGAAUUUUGGACAAUGGGCGCAAGCCUGAUCCAGCCAUGCCGCGUGAGUGAAGAAGGCCUUCGGGUUGUAAAGCUCUUUCGUUGGGGAAGAAAUGGCACAGGUUAAUACCGCGCGGGUAUGACGGUACCAGAAUAAGAAGCACCGGCUAACUACGUG